rnacentral:tRNA from 1 species
UAGGAGAUAGUAUAAUAGGAAGUACCGGGAGUUUUGAUCUCUCGGGUACAGGUUCAAGCCCUGUUUUUCUAG